GCCUAAACCCGCACGUUUUGUUGACCCGAGCAGCAAGAAGGAGCUGGUGCCAGUGAAGUUCUCCUGUGGGUUUAGGGUUGGUUUAGGCUGGGUUUAGGUCAGGUUUAGAUCAGGUUUAGGCCUAAACCCGCACGUUUUGUUGACCCGAGCAGCAAGAAGGAGCCGGCGCCGGUGAAGCCCAGCAAAGCCGCGCCCGCCUACGAGUCGGAGGAGGAGGAGAAGUGCAAGCCCAUGUCCUACGAGGAGAAGCGGCAGCUGAGCCUGGACAUCAACAAACUGCCCGGGGAGAAGCUGGGCAGGGUCGUGCACAUCAUCCAGUCCCGCGAGCCCUCGCUCAAGAACUCCAACCCCGACGAGAUCGAGAUCGACUUCGAGACGCUGAAGCCGUCGACGUUGCGCGAGCUCGAGCGCUACGUCACCUCCUGCCUGCGCAAGAAGAGGAAACCCCCAGGUACCUCCAGACCCCAAAAUUUAAGGGUUUUAGCCUGAUUUUAUGGUGGUUUUAAUUCCCAGGGUUGGGUUUUUGGGGAGGUUUUGGGAGGUGGUUUGGCCUCGCCAAGAUGGCGGCGGGCAGGAUUCAAAAUGGCAGCGGGUAGGAUUCAAAAUGGCGGCAGGUGGGAUUCAAAAUGGCGGCAGUGGGAUUCAAAAUGGCGGCAGAUGGGAUUCAAAAUGAAGGUGGGCAGGAUUCAAAAUGGCAGCAAGUGGGAGAUUCAGAAUGGAGGCAGGUGGGAGAUUCAAAUUGGCAGCAGUGGGAUUCAAAAUGGCGGCAGGGAUUCAAAAUGGAGGCAGGUGGGAGAUUCAAAAUGGCGGCAGGUAGGAUUCAAAAUGGCAGCAGUGGGAUUCGGAAUGGAGGCAGGUGGGACUCGAGAUGGCGGCAGGUGGGAUUCAAAAUGGCGGCCACUGUUGGUCUCAUUUUAUUUGUAACAAUUAAAGAUUUUUUUUUUAAAGUUUCAAUAUUGUAAAAUAUUGGAUGCACGUUUGCAGCAAAGCGAUUUGGGUUUGGGAUUAACCAAUCGGGUUUGGGAUUAACCAGUCGGGUUUGGGAUUAACCAGUUGGGAUGAACCAGCUGGGUUUAGGAUUGACUAGUUGAGUUUGGGACUGACCAGCUGGGUUUAGAACCAACCAGUUGGGUUCAGGAUGACCCAGUUGGGUUCAGAACCAACCACUUGGGUUUACGAUGUCCCAGUUGAGGUUAGAACCCACCAGGUGAGUUUAGGAUGACCCAGUUGAGUUCAGGAUGGCCCAGUUGAGUUUAAGGUGUGACCCACUUGAGUGUAGAACCAACCAGUUGAGCUUGGGAUGACCCAGGUGAGUUGAGGCUGCCCCAGUUGAGUUUAGAACCAACCAGUUGAGUUUAGAACCAGCCAGUUGAGUUCAGGAUGGCCCAGUUGAGUUUAAGGUGACCCACUUGAGUGUAGAACCAACCAGUUAAGUUUAGAACCAACUGGUUGGGUUUAGCAUGACCCAGUUGAGUGUAGAACCAACCAGUUGUGCUUGGGAUGACCCAGCUGAGUUUAGGAUGACCCAGUUGGGUUUACAACCAACCAGUUGAGUUUAGAACCAACCAGUU
ensembl:lncRNA